GUGAAUUAAUGUAAACUGCAUACUGCUUUGAACAUCGACAUCUUGAACGCAUAUUGCGGCCAUGGGUUAGCCUGUGGCCACGCCUGUCCGAGGGUCGGCUUAUAAACUAUCACGACGCCCAAAAAGUCGUGGCUUGGGUUUUGCCAGCUGGCAUGAUUUCCUCCGUGAGAAAUCACGCGAGGCGUCAGAUCUAUGGCGUUUCCCUAAUGUAUCCGGACGCAUCCUUUUGUUGGCUGCAAGCCAUGGUUGGAUGAGGUGACGGAAUCGUGGCUUAGUUUAGCUAUGCCCCGUUUUCAGCGUGUUUGGCGCUAAUUCAGUCGGCAUGCUUAUGACUACGGGUGGAGCUAAUAUUGGGUCGGUGCUCCGUUUUCAGUGUACUUGGCGUCAGUCGGUAUGCGUAUGAUCUCGGAGGUAAUCCCGUACCAGGCGCGUUUCGUUACUGCAAUUCUGCUUUGGUUUGACGUCACGGGAGGCAAUGCAUCUGAUGCUAUGCAUCUCACUUGGUGAGGCGCACAUAGAGACGUAACUAUGGCUUGUGGAUGAGCGGUGGAUUAUUUUUGGGUUGGUGCUCAGUUGUCCUUGUGACUUCAGGGGGUAAUUCCAUACCGGCCCGCUGUACCACAUACCCACAGCAAUGCGCUUCUAUGUCGUGUACUUGUCAGGUGUUAUGCAGUGCUUUGUGAGACCUAUGCACCGUAGUGUACCUAUGGCUUGUGGAUGAGCGGUGGAUUAUUUUUGGGUUGGUGCUCAGUUGUCCUUGUGACUUCGGGGGUAAUUCCAUACCGGGCCCGCUCUGCCACAUACCCACAGCAAUGCACCGGUGUAAUUGUCUUUACCUGACCUCGGAUCAGACGUGAUUACCCGCUG
rnacentral:rRNA from 1 species